GAUGAACGCUGGCGGCGUGCUUAACACAUGCAAGUCGAACGGUAGCGGGGACUUCGGUCCGCCGGCGAGUGGCGAACGGGUGAGUAAUGUAUCGGAACGUACCAUUCAGUGGGGGAUAACUAUCCGAAAGGAUAGCUAAUACCGCAUAUUCUGUGAGCAGGAAAGCAGGGGAUCGCAAGACCUUGCGCUGAUUGAGCGGCCGAUAUCAGAUUAGCUAGUUGGUGAGGUAACGGCUCACCAAGGCUACGAUCUGUAGCGGGUCUGAGAGGAUGAUCCGCCACACUGGGACUGAGACACGGCCCAGACUCCUACGGGAGGCAGCAGUGGGGAAUUUUGGACAAUGGGCGCAAGCCUGAUCCAGCCAUGCCGCGUGAGUGAAGAAGGCCUUCGGGUUGUAAAGCUCUUUCGGCCGGGAAGAAAUCGCAUCAGCUAAUACCUGGUGUGGAUGACGGUACCGGAAUAAGAAGCACCGGCUAACUACGUGCCAGCCGCCGCCGUAAAAC
rnacentral:rRNA from 1 species